GCCUUCAGGGCACAAAAAUGGACUCAAAUGCGGAGUUUAUAGGCGAAUUGCCAUCCCAUAAUACCACAAUCCCAUUCUGUAAUCCCAUAAUCCCAAUCCCGACCCCAUAAUCCCAAUCGCGACCCCAUAAUCCCGACCCCGUGGUUCGUUUCCCCCCUUUCGGGCCACAGAAAUCGGCCUCAGGGCACAAAAAUGGACUCAAAUCUGGAGCUCGUUGAGGAAAUGCCAUCCCAUAAUAUCAUAAUCCCGUUCUGUAAUCCCAUAAUCCCAAUCCCGACCCCAUAAUCCCAUAAUCUCGACCCCAUAAUCCCGAUCCCGGGUCACGGAAAUGGGCCUCAGGGCACAAAAAUGGACUCAAAUGCGGAGUUUAUGGACAAAAUGCCAUCCCAUAAUACCACAAUCCCACCCUGUAAUCCCAUAAUCCCAAUCCCGACCCCAUAAUCCCAAUCGCGACCCCAUAAUCCCGACCCCGUGGUUCGUUUUCCCCCCGUUUCGGGCCACAGAAAUCGGCCUCAGGGCACAAAAAUGGACUCAAAUCUGGAGCUCGUAGAGGAAAUGCCAUCCCAUAAUAUCAUAAUCCCGAAAUGCCAUCCCAUAAUACCAUAAUCCCACCCUGUAAUCCCAUAAUCCCAGUUUUGACCCCAUAAUCCCGAUGCCGACCCCAUAAUCCCAAUCCCAGGUCACGGAAAUGGGCCUCAGGGCACAAAAAUUGGACUCAUAUGCGGAGCUUAUGGACAAAAUGCCAAUCCCAUAAUACCACAAUCCCAUUCUGUAAUCCCAUAAUCCCAAUCCCGACCCCAUAAUCCCAAUCCCGGCCCCAUCAUCCCGACCCCGUGGUUCGUUUCCCCCCGUUUCGGGCCACAGAAAUCGGCCUCAGGGCACAAAAAUGGACUCAAAUCUGGAGCUCGUAGAGGAAAUGCCAUCCCAUAAUAUCAUAAUCCCACCCUGUAAUCCCAUAAUCCCAAUCCCGACCCCAUAAUCCCAUAAUCCCGACCCCGUAAUCCCAAUCCCGGGUCACGGAAAUGGGCCUCAGGGCACAAAAAUGGACUCAAAUGCGGAGUUUAUAGGCGAAUUGCCAUCCCAUAAUACCACAAUCCCACCCUGUAAUCCCAUAAUCCCAAUCCCGACCCCAUAAUCCCAAUCCCGGCCCCCAUCAUCCC
ensembl:lncRNA